GAUGAACGCUGGCGGCGUGCCUAAUACAUGCAAGUCGAACGCACAGAAGCUAACUUGCUUGAUCGAAGGAGUGCCGCGCGGGGGAGUAUUACAUAAGCAACCUACCCACGAAAGCCGGGAUAAUCUCUGGGAACGGGGACUAAUACCGGAAAGAUAAUCUGAAGGGCUCUUCUGAUUAUUAAAGGUCAAAAUCGCUGGUGGAUGUGCUUAUGGCGCAUUCGUUGGAUGGUGAGGUAACGGCCCACCAAGACGAAGAUGCGUAGCCGGCCUGGGGGGGUGACAGGCCACAUUGGGACUGAGGCACGGCCCAGUCUGCUACGGGAGGCAGGAGUAGGGAACUUUAGGCAAGGGGGGCAACCCUGACCGAGCCACGCGGGGUGAGUGAAGCCGGCCUUCGGGUUGUACAGCUAUGUUGUAAGAGAAGAACGGUAGAUAGAGAAUAUCUAAGUGACGGUACCUUACCAGAAAGCCACGGCUAACUACGUG
rnacentral:rRNA from 1 species